rnacentral:rRNA from 1 species
AUGUGAAUAUACCGGUUCUCGUUAGAUCACCGAAGUCAAGCAUCAUUGGGCGCGGUCAGUACUUGGGUGGGUGACCACCUGGGAACACCGCGUGCCGUU